rnacentral:rRNA from 1 species
AGAGUUUGAUCCUGGCUCAGAAUGAACGUUGGCGGCGCGCUUAACACAUGCAAGUCGAGCGAGAAAGUUUCUUCGGAAACGAGUACAGCGGCGGACGGGUGAGUACCGCGUAAGAAUCUACCCUUUAGUGAAGAAUACCCUCGAGAAAUUGAGGUUAAUACUGCAUAAGUCCCUUCGGGGAGAAAGAUGGCCUCUUUGCUGUCGCUAAAGGAUGAGCUUGCGUACUAUUAGUUUGUUGGUGGGGUAAUGGCCUACCAAGACGACGAUGGUUAGCCGACCUGAGAGGGUGAUCGGCCACACUGGAACUUAGACACGGUCCAGACUCCUACGGGAGGCAGCAGUGAGGAAUUUUGCGCAAUGGGCGAAAGCCUGACGCAGCGACGCCGCGUGAAGGAUGAAGGCCUUAGGGUCGUAAACUUCUGUGGAGUGGGAAGAAAGACCAUUCUCUAAUACAGAAUGGGGAUGACGGUACCACUUUAGAAAGCACCGGCUAAUCUCGUGCCAGCAGACGCGGUAAUACGAGAGGUGCAAACGUUAUUCGGAAUUAUUGGGCGUAAAGGGUGCGUAGGCGGCUUUUUAAGUCUGUUGUUUAAUCCUCCGGCCUAACCGGAGACCAGCAAUGGAUACUGAAGAGCUUGAGGGAGGAAGAGAGAAGUGGAAUUCUCGGAGUAGCGGUAAAAUGCGUAGAUCUCGAGAGGAACACCAAUGGCGAAGGCAGCUUCUUGGUCCUCUUCUGACGCUGAGGCACGAAAGCGUGGGUAGCAAACAGGAUUAGAUACCCUGGUAGUCCACGCCGUAAACGAUGAUCACUAGAUGUUGGUUCUGCUUGCAGAAUUAGUAUCGUAGCUAACGCGUUAAGUGAUCCGCCUGGGGAGUACGGUCGCAAGACUAAAACUCAAAGGAAUUGACGGGGGUCCGCACAAGCGGUGGAACAUGUGGUUUAAUUCGACAAUACGCGAGGAACCUUACCUGGGCUUGACAUGCUUUUGACCGUCAUGGAAACAUGGCUUUCCAAGUUUACUUGGACAAUUGCACAGGUGCUGCAUGGCUGUCGUCAGCUCGUGUCGUGAGAUGUUAGGUUAAGUCCUCUAACGAGCGCAACUCCUAUCGUUAGUUGCUAUCCAUUUAUG